UGACUUAAAACUUGAAAGAAAUUCCCUCGUUCUCCAGGUGCGCGCUUGAUGCCUUAAAACUUGAAAUGAAUUCCCUUGUUUUCCAAGUGGGGGCCUGCUGACUUAAAAACUUAAAAUGAAUUCCCUCGUUUUCCAGGUGGGUGCCUGAUGUUGACUUAACACUUGAAAUGAAUUCCCUCAUUCUCCAGGUGGGCGCCUAAUGCUGACUUAAAACCUGAAAUGAAUUCCCUCAUUCUCCAGGUGGGAGCCUAAUGCUGA
rnacentral:lncRNA from 1 species